rnacentral:rRNA from 1 species
UGCCAGACUCCUACGGGAGGCAGCAGUGGGGAAUAUUGCACAAUGGGGGAAACCCUGAUGCAGCGACGCCGCGUGAGUGAUGAAGUAUUUCGGUAUGUAAAGCUCUAUCAGCAGGGAAGAAGAUGACGGUACCUGACUAAGAAGCCCCGGCUAACUACGUGCCAGCAGCCGCGGUAAUACGUAGGGGGCAAGCGUUAUCCGGAUUUACUGGGUGUAAAGGGAGCGUAGACGGCGAUGCAAGCCAGAUGUGAAAGCCCGGGGCUCAACCCCGGGACUGCAUUUGGAACUGUGUGGCUGGAGUGUCGGAGAGGCAGGCGGAAUUCCUAGUGUAGCGGUGAAAUGCGUAGAUAUUAGGAGGAACACCAGUGGCGAAGGCGGCCUGCUGGACGAUGACUGACGUUGAGGCUCGAAAGCGUGGGGAGCAAACAGGAUUAGAUACCCCAGUAAAU